rnacentral:rRNA from 1 species
CAGUAGCCACGGUAAUACGAAGGGUGCAAGCGUUAAUCGGAAUUACUGGGCGUAAAGCGUGCGCAGGCGGUUUGUUAAGACAGAUGUGAAAUCCCCGGGCUCAACCUGGGAACUGCAUUUGUGACUGGCAGGCUAGAGUAUGGCAGAGGGGGGUGGAAUUCCGCGUGCAGCAGUGAAAUGCGUAGAUAUGCGGAGGAACACCGAUGGCGAAGGCAGCCCCCUGGGCCAAUACUGACGCUCACGCACGAAAGCGUGGGGAGCAAACAGGAUUAGAUACCCGCGUAGUCCCUGUCUCUUAUAC